CCCACCUAACCUUGUUAAGCACUUUCUAGCAGGUUAAACCUGUUGAUUUAUAAACUGAAUACAUGUCUUAAAGGAGGUUGCAGAUCCCUGAAUUUGGACUUUGAACUGUUUUGCUGCAGAUUGGCCGGAAGCUGGGGAAUGGUUGCCCAGAGGUUUUCAGACACUUCCCAGCUGCUCUUCAUCAGGCUGUUUCAGAUCCGUGACAUUUCUGGCAGGGAUCAUGGUGCUUAGUGACAGAAGGUAGUUCCAGAGUACUACCGAGGACAGAUUACCCGCCUGGCAGCAUGUUGAGGAGAUAACCAACACAUUUUCUGAUCAGCACAAUGUGGCAAGAUCCUCGUGCAUCAUACAUAAAUGCUCGUGUUUUAUGUAUUCAAGCACAUUUUAUUCCAUACCUGUUCUUUAACCCCUAAGUUUAUUUUUUAUAUACAUGUAAUUCUUUUAUUUUAGAAUUGUUGAAUGUUGCUGUUUUUUGUUGCAUGUACUCCCCACACCACAGCAAAUUUUUAAUAUGUGUAAAUGCACUGUGUAUAAGGCAAAUAAAGUUGAUCCUUGUUACUAAUGAAUAAACCGAGAUAAUCUUCCUUCAGUUGAAAUGUUGUACCUAAGGCCUUGUCUCUUUCCUUGAGGACAUAUUGAAGAUGCCAUGGUACUGCUCUGAAGAACAGAAGUAAUCUCUUUUGUUGUCCUUGCCAAUGUUACUAAAUAAACAUAUUUUCCACUCAUUAUCACAGUGCUCUCUGAUUGAUUUUCAUAACGUGAUUCAUAACGUGAUGUUUGGAAAACAAUGAUGUAGAUGCAAGACCCUUUGGUGAGCAAGAUAAAGAAGAUAAAUGAAUUGAGUGUAAAGUGACACAUUGUACUGCUUUCAAUAUACUUGUUAACACAAAGCCACCAGCAAUCUGAAUGAGUGACGUACAUGGUUCAGCUUCCAGAUGACAAUAGAGCCAUCAACUAUUUUGGUUACUGUUCCGCUUGCUUAGCCCUCUGCUGUUCUCACUUUAUACCUAUGAUUGUGUGGCCAAGUACAGCUUCAGUGUCACAGUGAAGUUUGCUGAACCAAAGGUGGUGACAAAUUGGCAUAUAGAAGGGAGACUGAAAAUCUGGUUGAAUGACACCACCACAACAACUGCUGAUUAUUGACAACAGGAGAAGAAGCUGGAGGUCCAUGAUCCAAUCUUCAGUACGGAAUCACGGAGAAGAGAGUCAGUAGCUUUAAAUGCCAAGGUGUUAAUGUAUCAGAGGAUCUGUACCGGGACCAUCACAAAAAGGGUAUGACAGCAGCUCUACUUUCUUAGAACUUUGCGUGGAUUGGGUACGCUACCAAAAACUUUGUCAAACUUCUAUGGAUGCAUAGUGGAGAGUAUACUAAGUGGUUGCAAAAUGGCCUAGAAUGGAAACACCAGUGCCAGGGAAUGAAUAAGACUACAGAGAAUGGUGGAUACAGCCUAGUCCAUCAUAGACAAAGUCCACCCCACCAUUGAGCACAUUUACAUGGAACAUUGCCACAAGAAAGCAGCCUCCAUCAUCCAAGUCCACUACCAUUCAGGAGCCUGAUAAUUGUUACCCUACAACUAUCAGGCUCCUGAACUGACGUGGAUAACUUCACUCACCACAACUCUGAACUGAUUCUAUGAUCUACAGGCUCACUUCAUGUUCUCAAUAUUUUUUAUUUGCACAGCUCGUCUUCUUUUACACAUUGUUUGUCAAUCUUUGUUCAUGUAUAGUUUUUGUAAAUUCAAUUGUAUUUCUUUAUUCUUCCUGUAAGUACCUGAAGAACAGUAAUCUCAUGGCAAUAACUUUUAACUGUUAGUACCCUAAGAAUAUCACCAAGCCUUGAUUUGCAUGUUAUUUGAUAAGACAUUUGCAUGCCUGUUGUUGGAACCUUGGCCAAGUGGAAAGUGGAUGAAAAAUGGAAAAAAAACAUUGGUAAGUACCAAAAUUUCAGCCCUUAGCAAGCAGAAUAAUAACAAGGUCAAACUUCCAGCAUUGUCUCUGAAGUGGGGACAAUGUUUCCAAAUAGGGUGCUAAUUAAUUUUAUUAAAAUUAUUUUUGAGCCAGACCAAUCAGCAACCUCAGCCUAAUCACAGGACUUCAUAAUGACCAAUUAACCUACCAACUGGUACGUCUUUGUACCAGUUGUGGGAGGAACCCGGAGCACCUGGAGGAACCCACACAGUCACAGGCAGAACAUACAAACUCCUUACACAGAGCGGUGGGAAUAGCAGUUUUGGAAUACCUUGCUUCAUCAUAAAAUACUGGUUAGCAGCAAUAGGCAGAAAUUAAAAGUACACGCACUCCUAUAAUUCAUGGAGACCAUCCGUUGAUAUCGCUGGGAACGAGGGGAUGCAUAGGGCGAAAAAUAAACUGCAGGAAGAACUCAGUGGGUGACACAGCAUCUGUGAAGGCAAGUGGACAGUUGACACUUUGGCUCAAGACCCUGCAGCAGUCCAGCAAAAUGUCCAAGGCUUUGACCUAAAACAUCAACUGUCCCAUUACCUCCAUAGACACCUUGUGACCUGCUGAGUCAUUCCUACAGAUUGUUCUUUUUGCUCCAAGUUCCAGGAUCUGCCUUACCUUGUGCCCCCAUACCAAGGCUAGGUGUUUGGUCUCCAAGUUAUGAUAACGUGGAGCCGAAUGUAUUGCACUGAACUGUUGCUGCUAAGUUAACAAAUUUCACGACACCAGCUGGUGAAAAAUAAGCUUGAUUCUGAUUCUGAAUGUGUGUGGUUCAAUGACAGGUAACCUGAUACAGACUAGGCCUGAAGAUCAGCCUCUGGAAAUUUGACUGCUCAGGUAUGUGCUGCUCACUGGGUCAUAACCUAGGUCCAAACUACACCAACAACCCCACCACCAGCAUGUGAAACCUCGAUCACCUUGCAUCGUCACUGGUUCCUUUAUAGAAUCUCAGGCAGCAAAAAACCUGCAUAGAGAACAAUCAAAGCAAUUAUGCUCUCUAUUCUUGGGGGAAAAAAGGUUCAUUGAGGACCCUCUCUGCACACAGAAAGGAGGAUAACUCUGUGUAAACACACUAAACACACAAAGGUACAAAAGGCCAGCAGCUGUCUUGAAUGUGUGAUAUUUCACAGACUAAAUCUGUGCAUUAUAUCGUUCAACACAAGACUUGAGGCAAAAGAUAUUAGUGAUAAAAUUUCUAACUCUGCUUGAAAGUCAUGUAGAGAUAAAGCAGUCACCUGUUUAAAACUGGUGAUCUUUUAAAAUAUUUUUACCCAGAGACAUUUCUAGGUUUGACCCUGGUCAGUUUUAAAUUAACUAAUCUCAUUUCCGCUCGAUCAAUAUCCACUGACCCCCGCUGAAAGUGGAUGUGUGUACAGCAAAACUGUGUGCUCAAGCUGUAUUAAUGCCAGGGCUGAAAGACACUGUCCUUCCCACACUCUGAUAAAGUUCAGAAGUGACAAGACAUUUUUAAAAAUUUAAAAGGAAGGCCCUCAGUCCAUUAUAUCUGAGUCAACCAGCCAAUAUUACUCAGCCAAGUCACCCAUACACUUUGUUUUCUUUAAUAAGCAUGUACAUGAGUGUUUGAAUUUGUUCAUUCCUCUUUAAAUUUUAGUCACUUCAUUAAAUUAAAGAAGUCAAUCUGACAUCAUUUUAUCCCUCUUAAUCUUUGUUACUGUAAUGAUUUAUAAUUGUUCAAAUAAUCCUCAAGGUUACUCCUGACAAUCGAUUCCAAGGUUUCAUUGAAAGGUGUGGAGAUGCUUAACUCUAAUUUUCUUCGCAGUUAUUGAUGUAUAGAAAUUUUCUUUUGAACCCACAAUAUUCAGAGUGGUUGUCAGUCAAAGAAUUUUUUUUGUUAUUUUAUUGACACAGUGUGGAGUAGGCCUGUCUGGCCCUUCGAGCCAUGUCACCACAGCAACCUUCAACAAAUCUCAUCAACCCUAACCUAAUCACAGGACAAUUUACAAUUACCAAAUAAUCUACCGAGUACAUCAUUGGACUGUGGGAGAAAACCGGUGCACCGGAGGAAACCCACUCAUUCCAUGUCCUAGGAAGGACGUAUAGAAACUCCUCACAGGAAGAAUUGGGGAGCACAAUGAAUGCCUUGCAUCCAGUGGUACUUACAUCCACUGUGAAGCGGCUUUGAGAGGUCGAUCAUGAAGCAUAUCAAUUCCUGUCUGAGGAGUAACCUCAAACUACUACAUCACAAGAGGUCAACAGCAGAGGCCAUUUCAUUGGCUCUUCACUCAGCUCUGGAACAUCUGGACACUGAAGCUGCAAACGUCAGGAUACUCUUUAUCGACUACAGCUCAUUAUUCAACACCAUCGUCACCUCAAAACUAAUCACACAGCUCCAAGAUCUAGACCUCAAUAUGUCUCUGUGCAACUGGAUCUUUGAUUUCCUCAGUUGCAGACCCCAGUCAGCACAGAUCGGCAUCAGCAUAGGUACACCACAGUUUCAAGUCUGCUGACGACACCAUCAUUGUUGGCUGAAUUAAAGGUGGCGACAAAUCGGAUUAUAGACUGAAAUUCUGGUUGAAUAGUGCCACAACAGACUCCCACUUAACGUCAGCAAAACCAAAGAGCUAAUUAUUGACUACAGGAGGAAGCUGGUGCUCCAAGUUUAAAUUCCUUGGCAAUAUCAUACCAGGGUAUGUGUCCUGGGACCAGCACAAAAGUGCCAUCACAAAGAAGACACAACAGCACCUCUACUUUCUUAGAAGUUUGCAUAGAUUUGGCAUGUCAUCUAAAACUUCUAUAGAUGCAAAGUGGAGAGUACCCGGACUGAUUGCAUCAUAGCCUGGUAUGGUAACAUCAAUUUGCAGCACUGGAAAAGUCUACAAAUGUGGUAGAUGCUCAUGUCCAGCCAAUCAGAGGUAAAGCUCUCCCCACUAUUGAGCACACUUACAUGGAGCGUUGCCACAAGAAAACAGUAUCCAUCCUCGAAUCCACCAUCCAAGCCAUGCUCUGUUCUUGCUUCUACAAACGUACUAUCAAGCAGGAGGUUAAUGGAGCCUUGGGUCCCAAACCUCCAGGUUCAGUAACAGUUAUUACCCAAAAACUAUCAGGUUCCUGAGCCACCAGUGAUAACUUCACUCACCUCAACUCUGAACUGAUUCUGCAACCUACAGACUCACUUUCAAGGACUCUACAAUUCAUGUUCUCAGUUAAGAGCAAGGAUGUCCUUUUGCAUUUGUACAGGGCCCUGGUGAGACCACACCUGGAAUAUUGUGUACAGUUUUGGUCUCCAGGUUUAAGGAAGGACAUUCUGGCAAUUGAGGAAGUGCAGCGUAGAUUCACUAGGUUGAUUCCUGGGAUGGCAGGGCUGUCUUACGCAGAGAGAUUGGAGAGAUUGGGCUUG